CCUACGGGUGGCAGCAGUGAGGAAUAUUGGUCAAUGGACGAGAGUCUGAACCAGCCAAGUAGCGUGAAGGAUGACUGCCCUAUGGGUUGUAAACUUCUUUUAUAAAGGAAUAAAACGAGGCACGUGUGCCUUUUUGCAUGUACUUUAUGAAUAAGGAUCGGCUAACUCCGUGACAGCAGCCGCGGUAAUACGGAGGAUCCGAGCGUUAUCCGGAUUUAUUGGGUUUAAAGGGAGAGUAGAUGGGUUGUUAAGUCAGUUGUGAAAGGUUGCGGCUCAACCGUAAAAUUGCAAUUGAUACUGGCAGUCUUGAGUACAGUUGAGGUAGGCGGAAUUCGUGGUGUAGCGGUGAAAUGCUUAGAUAUCACGAAGAACCCCGAUUGCGAAGGCAGCUUACUAAACUGUGACUGACAUUGAUGCUCGAAAGUGUGGGUAUCAAACAGGAUUAGAUACCCGGGUAGUC
rnacentral:rRNA from 1 species